CCCUUAGAUGUCCUGGGCCGCACGCGCGCUACACUGAGUGUCUGAGAUACGAGUCUGCCUGGUCCGGCAAGGUCUAGGUAAUCGCUAAAAGACACAUCAUGCUUGGGAUAGAUUGUUGCAAAUAUUAAUCUUGAACGAGGAAUUCCUAGUAAGCGCAAGUCAACAGCUUGCGUUGAUUACGUCCCUGCCCUUUGUACACACCGCCCGUCGCUACUACUGAUUGGAUGUUUAAGCGAGGUUCUCGAACUGCUAGCGACUUAGCUUCGGUGAGGUCGCAGUGUGGGAAGUGAACCUAGCUUUGGUGUCUAGAGGAAGUAAAAGUCGUAACA
rnacentral:rRNA from 1 species